CCGCUCAGAAACUUAAAGGAAGUUGACGGGGGCCCGGCACAAGACGGAGGAACAUGUGGUUUAAUUCGUAUGAUACGCGAGGAACCUUACCCGGGCCUUGAAAUGCAUCUGACCGGCCUUGAAGAGGCACUCCCUUCGGGCAGAUGUGUAGGUGCUGCAUGGUUGUCGUCAGCUCGUGCCGUGAGGUGUCGGCUUAAGUGCCAUAACGAGCGCAACCCUCAUCAUUAGUUACCAUCAGGUAAGGCUGGGGACUCUAAUGAGACUGCCAUCGUAAGAUGUGAGGAAGGUGGGGAUGACGUCAAAUCAGCACGGCCCUUACGUCCGGGGCGACACACGUGUUACAAUGGGUGGUACAAAGGGCAGCUACCUGGCGACAGGAUGCUAAUCUCGAAAACCGCUCUCAGUUCGGAUCGGAGUCUGCAACUCGACUCCGUGAAGCUGGAUUCGCUAGUAAUCGCGCAUCAGCCACGGCGCGGUGAAUACGUUCCCGGGCCUU
rnacentral:rRNA from 1 species